GACAGAGGAUGCAAGCGUUAUCCGGAAUUAUUGGGCGUAAAGCGUCUGUGGGUGGCUUUUUAAGUCCGCCGUCAAAUCCCAGGGCUCAACCCUGGACAGGCGGUGGAAGCUGCCAAGCUGGAGUACGGUAGGGGCAGAGGGAAUUUCCGGUGGAGCGGUGAAAUGCGUAGAGAUCGGAAAGAACACCAACGGCGAAAGCACUCUGCUGGGCCGACACUGACACUGAGAGACGAAAGCUAGGGGAGCGAAUGGG
rnacentral:rRNA from 1 species